rnacentral:lncRNA from 1 species
AUACUGUGAAAGUACUUUAAUUCGUGGGUAUCAAUUUUCGUGGUUUGAGCAAUAUUAACAUGUUCGUGGGUUUUUAAAUUCGUGGAUUUUAGUUUUCUAAAAAAAAAAAAAAUUGAAAAAUUGAAGUCUUUAGAAACGAGGGUUACAAAUAGUCUAGAUUGAAGGAAAUUGCAAAGUAAACAUUGACCCGUGUAAAUCGUAGUGAUAACACUAAUUAACCCAUGAUAAAGUGAUCAACAGAUUACAGACCAUCAAAGGUGUUAAUUAGGCCAUUAACAU